UAACAUGCAGUCGAGCGAUGGAUUAAGAGCUUGCUCUUAUGAAGUUAGCGGCGGACGGGUGAGUAACACGUGGGUAACCUGCCCAUAAGACUGGGAUAACUCCGGGAAACCGGGGCUAAUACCGGAUAAUAUUUUGAACUGCAUGGUUCGAAAUUGAAAGGCGGCUUCGGCUGUCACUUAUGGAUGGACCCGCGUCGCAUUAGCUAGUUGGUGAGGUAACGGCUCACCAAGGCAACGAUGCGUAGCCGACCUGAGAGGGUGAUCGGCCACACUGGGACUGAGACACGGCCCAGACUCCUACGGGAGGCAGCAGUAGGGAAUCUUCCGCAAUGGACGAAAGUCUGACGGAGCAACGCCGCGUGAGUGAUGAAGGCUUUCGGGUCGUAAAACUCUGUUGUUAGGGAAGAACAAGUGCUAGUUGAAUAAGCUGGCACCUUGACGGUACCUAACCAGAAAGCCACGGCUAACUACGUGCCAGCAGCCGCGGUAAUACGUAGGUGGCAAGCGUUAUCCGGAAUUAUUGGGCGUAAAGCGCGCGCAGGUGGUUUCUUAAGUCUGAUGUGAAAGCCCACGGCUCAACCGUGGAGGGUCAUUGGAAACUGGGAGACUUGAGUGCAGAAGAGGAAAGUGGAAUUCCAUGUGUAGCGUAAAA
rnacentral:rRNA from 1 species